ensembl:rRNA 5S_rRNA 5S ribosomal RNA
GCUUACGGCCACACCGCCUGGUUCACGCCCGAUCUCGUUUGAUCUCGGAAGCUAAGAUAGGGUUGGCCUGGUUAGUACUUGGAUGGGAGACCGCCUGGAAAUACCAGGUGCUGUAAGAU